rnacentral:rRNA from 1 species
UACAGAGGGUGCAAGCGUUAAUCGGAAUUACUGGGCGUAAAGCGUGCGUAGACGGUUAUGUAAGUUAGGUGUGAAAGCCCCGGGCUCAACCUGGGAAUUGCAUUUAAGACUGCAUAGCUAGGGUGCGGAAGAGGGAAGCGGAAUUUCCGGUGUAGCGGUGAAAUGCGUAGAUAUCGGAAGGAACAUCAGUGGCGAAAGCGGCUUCCUGGUCCAGCACCGACGUUCAGGCACGAAAGCGUGGGGAGCAAACGGG